UACGUAGGGUCCGAGCGUUGUCCGGAAUUAUUGGGCGUAAAGAGCUCGUAGGCGGUCUGUCGCGUCGGCUGUGAAAACACGGGGCUCAACUCCGUGCCUGCAGUCGAUACGGGCAGACUAGAGUUCGGUAGAGGAGACUGGAAUUCCUGGUGUAGCGGUGAAAUGCGCAGAUAUCAGGAGGAACACCUAUAGCGAAGGCAGCUUGCUGGGACGUUACUGACGCUAAGGCGCGAAAGCGUGGGGAGCGAACGAGGA
rnacentral:rRNA from 1 species